rnacentral:rRNA from 1 species
UACGAAGGGGGCUAGCGUUGUUCGGAAUUACUGGGCGUAAAGCGUGCGCAGGCGGCUUCUCAAGUCAGGGGUGAAAGCCCAGAGCUCAACUCUGGAAUUGCCUUUGAGACUGAGUGGCUUGAGUACGAGAGAGGUGAGUGGAAUUCCCAGUGUAGAGGUGAAAUUCGUAGAUAUUGGGAAGAACACCGGUGGCGAAGGCGGCUCACUGGACCAUUACUGACGCUGAUGCACGAAAGCUAGGGGAGCAAACAGG